UUGAAGACAUUUCAAAGAUAGUGAUGGAUGCAGCAGAGAACCUGGUGAACGUGGAACUAAUCAAACUAUCUCAUUUGCAAAACAAGAUUGUAAAUUGAGUAUGAUUGCAUAAUUUUUGUGUCAGAGAACAGCAGUUUAUUAACAUGUGGUGAGUUAGAUGUACAUUCUCCCUGUGAGAAAAUUGACAGAUUAAAAGGAAAGGCUCUACUUUUGCAGCCAGGACAUAGACUUUAAACAGGAGCUUUGAGGGCUACGAGUUUCCUCCUUGUACCUUAGUCAAUCUUUGUGGGAAGAAGCAGAUUUCUUUCCUGGGCUCUGCAGUUGCAAGCCCAGCCAGUUAUAGGUGCUCCAAGAAGUGCUCAUCGAUCCCGCUGAAUUGCGUGUGUGGUGCUUCUGUUAUUUUCAGCUAUAUUUCCGUUAUUUUCUUCCACAGUUCCUGAAUGGCACAGUGAUGGUAAAAGUUGAAGGUGAGACAAAGUCAGACAAGUUUAUAUAACAUCUGCAAACUGUCCUAGCAAUGGAGAUGGACAAGCGGGUGUUGUGAGUGAAAACGGAUCACCAGAAAGAUCACCUGUUACAGGUUGCAAAAAGAUCUACCUUUGGUGUUCCCCAGGAACAGAAGAUGGCGUGGAGAACAUAACAAUUCAGCUCCCAUGUGUUGAUGGUUCAAGGUACAAUGGAAAAGAAGCUGGAAGAAAUCUAUUUGUUGCUGCAUUCUAGCAGUUGGACAGCUAUGCCUGAUACAUAGUGGGUUAACAGGUCCUGAACCAAAUUUCCGUCUCAGAGCUGGAACUGCUUCCUGGCCCUCUAAAGUUGCCUGACUGAUUGCCUUCUGCACAGAUUCCCUAUCCACUGGUGGAAAUUACUACAGGCAAUCUCAAGAAGUCAGGUACAACACCCUAACAAAGGCAAGUCCUACUCUAAGGAGUUUUGCUAUGCAAAAGAGCAGUUCCUAAAAUCUUGGAGAUUUCUAGAAAAACAAUUUGUGAAGGAACUCUGAACUGAACUACCUUCACCCAAAGGUCUAACCCAU